UCGGGAAUUUUGGGCAAUGGGCGAAAGCCUGACCCAGCAACGCCGCGUGAAGGAUGAAGUAUUUCGGUAUGUAAACUUCGUAAGAAUAGGAAGAAUAAAUGACGGUACUAUUUGUAAGGUCCGGCUAACUACGUGCCAGCAGCCGCGGUAAUACGUAGGGACCAAGCGUUGUUCGGAUUUACUGGGCGUAAAGGGCGCGUAGGCGGUGUGUCAAGUCAGUUGUGAAAUCUCCGAGCUUAACUCGGAACGGUCAACUGAUACUGUCACACUAGAGUACAGAAGGGGCAAUCGGAAUUCUUGGUGUAGCGGUGAAAUGCGUAGAUAUCAAGAGGAACACCUGAGGCGAAGGCGGGUUGCUGGGCUUGUAGUGACGCUGAGACGCGAAAGCGUGGGGAGCAAACAGGAUUAGAUACCCGCGUAGUCCCUGAGCGGGCUGGCAAGGCGCAU
rnacentral:rRNA from 1 species